rnacentral:rRNA from 1 species
CCUACGUGAGGCAGCAGUGAGGAAUAUUGGUCAAUGGGCGCGAGCCUGAACCAGCCAAGUAGCGUGAAGGAUGACUGCCCUACGGGUUGUAAACUUCUUUUAUCAAGGAAUAAAGUGAGGCACGUGUGCCUUUUUGUAGGUACUCUAUGAAUAAGGAUCGGCUAACUCCGUGCCAGCAGCCGCGGUAAUACGGAGGAUCCGAGCGUUAUCCGGAUUUAUUGGGUGUAAAGGGAGCGUAGAUGGGUUGUUAAGUCAGUUGUGAAAGUUUGCGGCUCAACCGUGAAAUUGCAAUUGAUACUGGCAGUCUUGAGUACAGUUGAGGUAGGCGGAAUUCGGGGUGUAGCGGUGAAAUGCUUAGAUAUCACGAAGAACUCCGAUUGCGAAGGCAGCUUACUAAACUGCCACUGACAUUGAUGCUCGAAAGUGUGGGUAUCAAACAGGAUUAGAUACCCCGGUAGUC